rnacentral:rRNA from 1 species
AUGCACGCCUCCGGAUCCCACGACUUGAGCCACUGGGAUGCGGAGUUCAUCGCUGGUUUCAGCCACGAGGCCCUCUUCGAUCUCAUCCUGGCUUCGGAAUAUCUUCAAAUAAGAGGACUGAUUGACCUAGCCUGCCGUACUAUUGCUAGUAAGAUAAAGGGGAAAUCUCCGCGUGAAAUUUGUAAUAUCUUUAACAUCAAGAGUGUCUUUGCUUCGGAAUUAGAUGAGGAAACAAUAGCAAAGAGAUUGCAAGAUUCCACAACAUGUUCGAGCGACAAGGAGUUGCCAUGCAGUGAGACCCCAUGUUUAAUGCAAGAGCUCGAAUUGGAGGAAAAAGCUUUGCAGGCUCUUGACAUAGUUCGAUGCCAAGAGUUUACGGGAUACGACCCUAAGGUCAACGCUUACACCCAUACCCGAUUCGACAUAUUCAACCUAGCCUUCUUUGACCUUGACAAAGAGUCUGAUUUUUGCCGUGGUCCACGGCUUAACAUGAUACCUUCACCAAUACGUGACUCGGUCGUAGGAUCAUGUGUAAAUGUCAUUACCUUGAAGGUAAAGGAAUCGGAAGUUGGCUUCCCGAUAAAAGUUUUUGGUACCGUUGUAGCAAGAGACCAGGUCGACUAUAGAUGUGUUUAUCUCUUCAGGCGUGAAAGGGAUGAUCCCCAACUCAUCACCUUGGCGGACGGCAAGUUAACUUUGAUGGAUCCAUGCCGAGGGCUUGUUCCGGAGGACAGAAUGUAUUUUGAGAUGAAUUUAAAGAUAGUACGUGAUGGAGGUGAGGUUGAAGAUUUCAGCAAAGGUGUGAUCGUUUUCAACAAGGCCCGCCUCCCUAAUGAUAAGCAGACCAUGGGUGUGAGCCUAAAUAGCUAUCUGAGUAGGGUGGAAGUGAGAUGUGCUUAUGUUGUACAUCCCAUUGAAGCUACCAUUGAAGUCAACAUUUUGCCGCCUGGACUACCAAGAAUUAUGAGUAUAGUAUGGAUCUUUACAACGGUGGUGAAGCAGCAGCAGAGGUUGAGGCAGGAACCGUUCCCUUGA